CCUUAUAUAAGUUAUUCUCAAGUUGUUUUUCUAUGAUUUGUUGAGUAUAUAUGCAUAAAUUCUUUAAAGGUUAACUAUUUUAGAAAAAGUGGAGUAUUGGUUUGUAAAAUUCUAUAUUUUUGAAGUAAAUGGCAAGAUUUUGUUAUAUUUGUUUGGAAAGUUAUUUAUGCAUAGUCAAGUGGAGAUAUGUAGUGAAAUGUAGUAUAUUAGAGGGUGGGAGGUCACCUUAGUGGAGAUAGUAAAGAUUAAGUUCAUAUGGCAUUGCUGGCACCUCGGGACGCCAGGUGCAGUACUUACUCUCCUUGGUGCUCGAAAAUGAGUGCGGUGUUGGAGACUUACUCUCCUUAGUACCAAAAAGGUGCGGAGUUGGAGACUAUACUCCUUAGCAUCCGUAGGAUGCGGUGUUGGAGUAACGACACCCCAAUUACUUGUAAUAGGGGAAACGGUAGUUCAAAAGUGGUUUAGUACACCUUGGCUGGGUAGUCCUAUCAUGGAUGGUGAGCUUGGGGACCAUACAUGUGGUUUGGUUCUAUGAAAUAGCCUACUGGUUCAGUCGGGAGUAUUGGAGGACUAGAUUAUUAGGGAUUAUGCAUGCAAAUUUGUGGUGAUCUUAUAUGAUGUGAUCAUGUUACUUAUUUUAAUGCUUGUUUAUAACUUGGCUUGUUAAUAAAUAAUAUAGAUUAUCGUAGUUAUUGAGAUUUUUAUCUCACCUUGUGGAUUAUCAUUUUACAGGUUCUAUCUCUGAGACUGGGCACGGAAAGGAAUUGGGUUCUACCUCUGAGAUUGGGCAGGGAAAGGAAUUGGGCAAGGACUAGUAGAUUUGCUACAUCGAAUAAUAAUACUCGAUUUUGGUUUGAGUGGUGUACAUAAACUUGUUAUAUGAUAUUAUAUGUUGCCAACUAUGUAUAUCAUUUUAAUUGGUUGCACUUGUUUCCUACUAUGUUGUUGUGUAUUUUAGCCCAAUAUGGUAUAUGAUGUGAAUAUGUGGGAAUUUUUGUGUUGAUGGGCUAAAAUACCAAUACAAGUGUAAGGAAUGUUUUAUCUAUGCGGUGACAAUAUAAUUGUAAUGUAUUAUGUGGCAAUGGAAGCUAAAUAGUGCAUGUAGUGUUGAUUGUG